AGUGAACGCUGGCGGUAGGCCUAACACAUGCAAGUCGAACGGCAGCACACUACGUGCUUGCUCUUACGGGUGGCGAGUCGCGGACGUGUGAGGAAUACAUCGGACUCUACUUUUUCGUGGGGGUUAACGUAGGGAGACUUACGCUAAUACCGCAUACGCCCUACGGGUGAAAGCAGUGGAUCUUCGGACCUUGCGCGAUUGAAUUAGCCGAUGUCGGAUUAGCUAGUUGGCGGGGUAAAGGCCCACCAAGGCGACGAUCCGUAGCUGGUGGGAGAGGCUGAUCAGCCACACUAGAACUGAGACACGGUCCAGACGCCUACGGGACGCAGCAGUGGGGAAUAGUGGACAAUGGGCGCAAGCCUGAUCCAGCCAUACCGCGUGGGAGAAGAAGGCCUUCGGGUUGUAAAGCCCGUUUGUUGGGAAAGAAAAGCAGCAGGUUAAUACCCCGCGGUUCUGACGGUACCCAAAGAAGAAGCACCGGCUAACUUCGUG
rnacentral:rRNA from 1 species